CGAUGUUUCCUCCACGCCCCGAGAGCCGCCAUUUUGGGGGGAGGAAAACACAAGUAGGGGUGGCAGAACCUCCACGGGAUGUUGACUGGCUUUUGUUUCUCUUGCCAGCACUGUGGGACCGGGGUAGAAGAAUCCACCCGGGCCACUCCUCCGACUGCCUCUCCGGAAUGAGGCCUCAGCGCCCGCGCGGGACGGCCCCCUCAUUCACCCGAGAGAGCCCAAGGAGAGGCCGAAGCCGAGAAGAUGCCUGGGAAGCUGAAGGUGAAAAUCGUGGCCGGGCGCCAUUUGCCAGUGAUGGACCGAGCUAGUGACCUGACUGAUGCCUUCGUGGAGGUAAAAUUUGGAAAUACCACCUUUAAAACAGAUGUGUAUCUCAAGUCCCUCAACCCUCAGUGGAACUCAGAAUGGUUUAAAUUUGAG